CCUGUCUUAACUGUUUUUAACUGUUGAAGUAUUUCACUUAUAUUAAUUAUACCACUCUGCAAACUUAAACGAAUAUCGAGUAGUUUCUGUUUUAAUAAAAACAUUUUAUAUUUUCUUCUAAAGUUUAAACCUUAUUCAUUAUUGCAGUUGUUAUUGCAAUCAUAUGAUCUUUAACUAUCAUGAUUCAAUUAUUCAUCUUGGUAAUUAGCUGUUAGGCUCUUAUACGUAUGUUUAAUAUAUUUGUUUGUAGGCCAGACUGCAGCUGCAUAUGGCAUUUUAGCAAUAAUCUUCAAUUGCGUUUCAGAUAUUCACAAAGUCUAUCCACCUUUGUAAUUAACACAUUAUGUGUUUAUUUUAUACCAUUAAUUAUAGUAUCUGUAUUAUAUUACACAUUAUCACUGACACAUUUCUGAUACAGGGAAAAAAUAGCAUGAUUGCUUUAGUAAUUAUAAUUUUCGGUCCAUGCACCACAUUCCUGGAAGUCCAGAAUAUAAGAAUCCUUUGUCAUUUGAUUCUAUGGAGCCAUUUAACAUUUUGAUUGGUAGAGUUAUACCAAAAGAGCAAGGAGUACGAUGGUAGAUCACAUCUGCAACAGAACCAUUACAGAUUCCUUGUUGUAUCAAUGUCUCUGUGUUUAUGUUUACAGGAAUUCCUUGCUUUGCAGGUAUGUACAUAAUAUGCAGAGUUUAAGAAAAGCUGCAAAUUGUGCUUUAGUACAAGUGUCCCGUGAUGUCAGGUUUCUAAAAGAUUUUGCUGGUCUUUUAUAUUCCAUUCUCUUGUCAGGGCAUCUGCUCUUAGUAAGCCGGUCUUGUUGUUAUUUAUUAAUUGCAUCAAGGUUUCUUUCGUUAAUUGAUGUGUUUCUUCCAAAUUCAAAUUCAUAUGCCACCAAAUGUCAUUGUAAAGUUCAUUGUUGCAGAAUAUUGUUCCAGGAUGGUUUUUCACUCCAGUAGGAAAUCUAUAUUCCCCUUCUUCUGCUCCUUCCUAUUAACCACUUUUUCUGAGUUGUAGGUAACAAUCUGUGUCUUGUACUGUGAGGUGCUUUGAUAGUCAAUCAGGUUUUCUCAGUACCAUGUUCCAUCUUGAAAAACAGCUGGGUGUUGACAGUUAUCAGCCUUUAUUUUUUUCCGGUCAUCUUCUGUCUGGAUAAUAGCAAUGUCCAGAAUUAGCAUAGCACUUCUUUUCAGCAUAAGAAGGCUGUUUGCGGUAGUCAUUCAAUGAUAAACUAUAUGGCAAAGUCUUUUCUUGCAUCACCUUCAUAGGUGCAUCCAAAGUCUUUCAUAAGCAUCUUUCCCAUCUUUUUCUGUUUUCAGCAUGCUUUGCCAUCAUCGUUCAGUCCAUUAUUAGGAUUUGUAAUUGUCCAAUCACAUCUUUCUCAUGUAUAAUCGUUUUUUGGAAUGAUCUCAAUAGGUUCCUUGUGAAAUACCAGUGUAGGUCACAUAAGCAAUCAUUUCACUGUGAGCUGUGUCUCUCCUUUUGAGAUAGUUCUUGGAGGUAGUCCUCACGAUCACAGAACUUGUAUAGUGUGCAGUCCAAUUCAGUUCAGGUGCUUCCUGCUUGUUAACAUAA